GGAGGGUAUUUCCUAUUACGUUAAGCAGGCAAAUUCAAGCAUAUUCUAUUUGACUUUGGAAGGGGGGUUCGGCUGGAUCAAACAUGAAAUAAAAAGAGUCAUGACUUUUCUUACUGCUACGUGCUUUCCUUAAUUCCCCCUUCCGCAGUAACUGAAAUUUAUUUGCUCGUAUUCAGAAAAAUAAUAAUUCCAAAUAGUAAUAAAGACAAUAAACAAUCACCUUCAUCUGCCCCUUAAUCCACGAGACCCCUGAUUUAAGGUUGACACGACCUUUAAACUUCAUAACAUUUCUAAAUAUAUUCGGUAUCAAAGUGAGUAAACGGUCAUAUCAGCGUAUACUUUCUCACGAGACACUCAAGCGUUGUUCAAACUGUACAACAAUCAACAAGAAUGGGUGGCAGCUGUGCAAAAGAAGUACACGAAGGCAUCAUCUUCUCUGGUCUGUGGCCUGUGCCGCAUUCUCAUCUAAACGAACCCGUACAGCAUGAUCCUUACAUAAGAUCAAAGCCGAACAACACCUGCUUGAGAAAAGGCGGACAGCGCAGGUUCGCGGUGGUUUACGAAGCCUUCAGAGGGCCGGUACAAAUCACGGUCACGAUGAAAGAUUCCACGGGUAAAAUGCAUCAACUACUCUCUACCGAAACAUCCGUCCAAUGUGCCGAGCUCCCCUUUGAAAUUCUUGAUGUGAAAACAAUCCAUGCUGGUACCUACACCGUCAAGAUCAAGGAUACAGGGCUUAAUGACAGAUUCGGUGGGAACCCAGUACAAGCAUCCUGGAAAGUGACCGUGCGUAACACCUGCCAUUGAGUGGCCUAAUGCCAUGAAUUACAGGUGUGUCCCAACUACAUUUAAAUCUCCAAGAUGUCAAGGCUGUAAAAAGGCUUUGGGAAUGGUCAUAGUUAUCCAACCGAAUGAUAUACUCUUCUUUUCCUACUGGAACUUUGAUUAGAUACAUAUAUGCAAUUUAAAAGUAUACACGGAUGAAUAAAACAAGUUCAGCACUUCAAACCGUUAAAUACAAGUGUCGAUAAAACACGAGUAAAUUUCACAAAGAUCGUAAUAGAAUGAUCCAAUUGUUGAACAAAUUACAUGUAGCGAGUGAGCUCCCACAUCAGCAAUUUAGGUAUUAAACAAAACAAGUUUGCUCGAGAAAAAACCGCACUUUUCGUCACACCGGGCGGAAGAUAUUCAUUUAAAUCGAACUAUAAAACAUAGAUAUAACACUUGAAAUUCGAGCUUCAUCCAUACGGUGGAUUUUCAUUAACCUCAAAAAGGCUAAAAUGAAUUCUGAACGCUACAGAACUAUGAACUAAUAUAGCUGACUGACUUUAGGGGGUAUGAUAUUUAGAUAAAAACUUUGUACCGGAGCUCAAUUUAGUUGCAUGAAUCUGUCUUUGAUAUUUCUGUCUUUGUUAUGUGAUUCUGUUUCAAUAAAGGGUCAAGCACCUCCAUACAAUGCA